rnacentral:rRNA from 1 species
GUGGGGAAUAUUGCACAAUGGGGGAAACCCUGAUGCAGCGACGCCGCGUGGAGGAUGACGGCCUUCGGGUUGUAAACUCCUUUUGUCAGGGACAAUGGUGAUGGUACCUGACGAAUAAGCCACGGCUAACUCUGUGCCAGCAGCCGCGGUAAGACAGAGGUGGCGAGCGUUGUUCGGAAUUACUGGGCUUAAAGGGCGCGUAGGCGGUGGUGUAAGUCUGGGGUGGAAUGCUACAGCUCAACUGUAGAGCUGCCUUGGAAACUGCAUUACUUGAGUCGGUGAGGGGAAGGCGGAAUUCCUGGUGUAGCGGUGAAAUGCGUAGAUAUCAGGAGGAAGGUCUGUGGCGAAGGCGGCCUUCUGGCACUUGACUGACGCUGAGGCGCGAAAGCGUGGGGAGCAAACAGGAUUAGAAACCCCAGUAGUCC